rnacentral:lncRNA from 1 species
GCACACCAGCAGGGCAGAGGCUUCCUUUCUGUUGCUUAGAAGCAUUUCCUCAUGGCAAGCACAGCUGACUCGGAGUGAGUAGCCAGGAAGGCUGGGACCCCGUAGAGCUGCUAUAUCACAGUUUUGCUGAUGCCCUGGCCUUCUAGCCAGCUCCGGGGCAAGUUUAGUAAAGGGACAAAGCAAGGUAGGGUAUGGGCCCAGGAGGAGACCAUAAUGCUGGUGAAGGUUUACAGAGGGUUUCUGCCUAUCAUGGAAACCGGGAAGCUGGCUGGCAGGACUUUAGAGAAGGGUGAACACCAUUUCAAAGCUGUGGUAAAAAGUACACAGCUCCCGUGGAAAAUCGUUCAGCACCCCCAUUAGCCUCAUCUCUGCACAAGGAAAUCACCAGGGGCAAUGCAGGGCCCCUGAGCCUGAGGUGGGCUGUGGUGGAUGUGGGAG